rnacentral:rRNA from 1 species
AUGGUAGCUUUUCAUGAUAGCUCGAUUGGCGGCCAUUCAGGGUUCCCAGCAACCUUCUGGCGCGUCCGUCGCCUCUUUGCAUGGCCAAAAAUGAAGACGCAUGUCCUGCAAUAUGUCCGCUGCUGCCCAAUUUGUGAGCAGGCUAAAACAGAUAGAGCAACAUCGCCGGGGUUGCUUCAUCCACUGCCCAUCCCGCAACAGCUAUGGGAAAUGAUCACGAUGGAUUUUGUUGAAGGCCUGCCUCAGUCCGGUAAAUUCAACUGUCUCUGGGUUAUAGUGGACAAUUGCACCAAGUUUGCUCAUUUUCUUCCGUUGACACACCCAUAUACAACAGCAAAAGUGGCCCUCCUCUAUAUGAACAACAUGUACAGGAUCCACGGAUUCCCUGCAACCAUUGUGUCUGAUCGUGACCCGGUUUUCACUGGCCACUUUUGGAGGGAGUUGUUCAAGUACGCCAGUACAGAGCUACGGUUGAGUGCGGCAAACCAUCCACAAACUGACGGACAGACUAGAAGAGUGAACCAGUGUGUGGAGACCUACCUCAGAUGUUUUGUGCACGCGUGUCCGACACGGUGGAGUCACUGGAUUCCACUUGCCCAGUUCUGGUACAAUGCCUCUCACCACUCCAGCAUUGGGAUGUCGCCCUUCAAAGCGAUGUUUGGGCACGAACCCCGGCACUGGGGGAUCACUCCUACUUCUGAAUGCAUAGUUCUGGCACUCCAUUCUUGGCUGGAUGAGCGUGCAGUGGUGCAGGACCUGCUUCAACAACACCUCAAUAGAGCACAACAACACAUGAAGGCCCAGGCAGACAAGCGCCGAUCGCCUCGUACCUUUGAGGUGGGCGAUUCGGUUUACCUUAAACUCCAGCCAUACAUUCGAACCUCCGUCGCCCGAUGA